rnacentral:rRNA from 1 species
UAACUUAGUGGCGAACGGGUGAGUAACGCGUGAGUAACCUGCCCUGGAGUGGGGGACAACAGUUGGAAACGACUGCUAAUACCGCAUAAGCCCACGGAACCGCAUGGUUCUGAGGGAAAAGGAUUUAUUCGCUUCAGGAUGGACUCGCGUCCAAUUAGCUAGUUGGUGAGGUAACGGCCCACCAAGGCGACGAUUGGUAGCCGGACUGAGAGGUUGAACGGCCACAUUGGGACUGAGACACGGCCCAGACUCCUACGGGAGGCAGCAGUGGGGGAUAUUGCACAAUGGGGGAAACCCUGAUGCAGCGACGCCGCGUGGAGGAAGAAGGUUUUCGGAUUGUAAACUCCUGUCGUUAGGGACGAUAAUGACGGUACCUAACAAGAAAGCACCGGCUAACUACGUGCCAGCAGCCGCGGUAAAACGUAGGGUGCAAGCGUUGUCCGGAAUUACUGGGUGUAAAGGGAGCGCAGGCGGACCGGCAAGUUGGAAGUGAAAACUAUGGGCUCAACCCAUAAAUUGCUUUCAAAACUGCUGGCCUUGAGUAGUGCAGAGGUAGGUGGAAUUCCCGGUGUAGCGGUGGAAUGCGUAGAUAUCGGGAGGAACACCAGUGGCGAAGGCGACCUACUGGGCACCAACUGACGCUGAGGCUCGAAAGCAUGGGUAGCAAACAGGAUUAGAUACCCUGGUAGUCCAUGCCCGUAAACGAUGAUUACUAGGUGUUGGAGGAUUGACCCCUUCAGUGCCGCAGUUAACACAAUAAGUA